rnacentral:tRNA from 1 species
UCCCGUAUGGCUCAGUUGGUAGAGCAUGGUGCUGCCAAUGCCAGAGUUGUGGGUUUGAUUCCCGCUGGGGAC